rnacentral:rRNA from 1 species
GUGCCAGCAGCCGCGGUAAUACGGGGGGGGCAAGCGUUGUUCGGAAUUACUGGGCGUAAAGGGCUCGUAGGCGGCCAACUAAGUCAGACGUGAAAUCCCCAGGCUCAACUUGGGAACUGCGUCUGAUACUGGUUGGCUUGAAUCCGGGAGAGGGAUGCAGAAUUCCAGGUGUAGCGGUGAAAUGCGUAGAUAUCUGGAGGAAUACCGGUGGCGAAGGCGGCAUCCUGGACCGGCAUUGACGCUGAGGAGCGAAAGCCAGGGGAGCAAACGGGAUUAGAUACCCCGGUAGUCCUGGCCCUAAACGAUGAAUGCUUGGUGUGACGGGUAUCGAUCCCUGUCGUGCCGAAGCUAACGCAUUAAGCAUUCCGCCUGGGGAGUACGGUCGCAAGGCUGAAACUCAAAUGAAUUGACGGGA